AUGCCCUUCAGGGACAUCGCGUCCCACAACACCAUGAUGACGGCCCACGCUGCUGCUCCGGGCGGCGGCGUUGACGCCGCACGCCAGCUGUUCGAUGGAAUGCUCCUCAGGAACGCCGUGUCCUGGAACGUCAUGAUCAACGGGUAUGUGAAGGCGAAGCGGCCCGAGCAGGCGCUUGAGGUGGUGCGGUGGAUGGCAGGGGUCGGGGUCAGGGGCACCGCGACGACCAUGGUCGGGGCGGCCACCGCGUGCGCCAGGCUGGGGAGGCUGGGGUCUGGCAGGGAGGUGCAUUGUGCAUACUUGCGCCGCUUUGAGGAGGAUAACCUCUUGUUUUGGACUUCGCUGGUUGAUAUGUAUGGCAAGUGCCGGAGGGUGGCGGCUGCGAGGAAGGUGUUUGAUCGGCUCAACAUCCGGAAUACAGUUUGCUGGAAUGCAAUGAUCAUCGGGCAUUGCGUGUAUGGCGAGCCUGGUGAUGGGAUUGAGUUGUUCCAUCAGAUGAUUGGACGAGGGAAGAAUGGUUCAGAUAACCAAUGGGUUCUGCGACCAGAUCAAGUCACUUUCAUUGGUGUACUCUGCGCGUGUACCCGUUUAGGUCUUCUGGAUGCUGGGAAGGUAUAUUUCAACCAGAUGACCACGACGUACAGUCUGAGGCCAACAUUCGCACACUAUUGGUGCAUGGCGAAUCUGUAUGGGAGUGUUGGCCUUCUGGAAGAAGCAGAGAGCCUCUUGAAGAGCGUGCCAGAGGAGCUGAAGGCACGUGCAUUGGGUGGUUUGCUUGGGUUGUGCCGGUUCAGAGGGGAAUGGAAACUUGGGGAACGUAUAGCCCUCAGGUUGAUCGAGCUGGAACCAAGCAACUGUGCUCACUAUGCUCUGUUGUGCAGUGUAUAUGCUUCGGCGGGAAGAUGGGAAGAUGCUCACAGGGUGAAGGCUAUCAUAAAGGAAAGCGAUAAGAGGUUCAGUCCUGGACACCGUCUGGUGGAUCUAAAUGAGAUCGCAAGUGAAUUUAAAAUUAGGGAGAGGCAACCUGAGAACCAGGAAAUAUAUGUUAUCCUGGAUGACUUGGUGUCAAAGCUGCAGUUUACAAGCAGAGAAGAUGCGCAAACUGAACCAGGGAUAAAAUAG
rnacentral:rRNA from 1 species